rnacentral:rRNA from 1 species
CACGUAGGCGGCCAUUCAAGUCAGAGGUGAAAGCCCGGGGCUCAACCCCGGAACUGCCUUUGAGACUGGGUGGCUUGAAUCUUGGAGAGGCGAGUGGAAUUCCGAGUGUAGAGGUGAAAUUCGUAGAUAUUCGGAGGAACACCAGUGGCGAAGGCGGCUUACUGGUCCAUUACUGACGCUGAGGUGCGAAAGCGUGGGGAGCAAACA